GAGAAAGAAAGAAAGAGCGCGACAGAGAGAGAGAGAAAGAGAUGGAGACAAAGAGACACAGCUGCAUGUGAGCUCACACAUUUUCAGCAUGUUCUUACAAAAAGAUAGACUUAGAGUUAGAUAAACUUGAAUUUUUCCACAAGGAUAUAUAUAGGACACUACCCUCCAUAAUAUAACAUUGACUCCAAAUCAAACCUCCAAAUCUACAACCUGAUUUUGGACAAAACUACCUGGAAGUAUUCCUACAACCAAAGAUUCUUAUUUCCAAGAUUUACAGCAAAUAGUCUGGCAAACAACCAACAGAAACCUGAAACACCAUCCAACCUGGAACUGAGUGAGUCAUCUUUAGUCUGAAGUCCAACCUGGAACUGAUGACCCUGUUCAUCAGAACGUCAUGGUGGAUGGAAAAAGAUGCUCUCUUCAGCUGCGGUGAAUAACCACAACCCUGUCAGUCCAUCUCUUUACUUCUCCUUUCUCUUAUAUUCUCUCUCCCUCCUUCCCUUUUCGUAACCAACUGCGGCCUUGACCUCCAACAGUAUCAGCAACACAGAGGUGUGAAGUUUCCACAACAGAGAGAGUCAGUUUAUCAUGUACUUCUCUUUAGACGCUGCAGCCUUGACCUCCAUCAACAGAGUUAGAGUUAGUUUAUCAUGAGAACAUACAGACACCACUGACUGGAACUAUCAACAACAAGAGUUGGUUUAUCAUGAUAACAUACAGACACCACUGACUGGAACCAGCUGACAGUAUCAGUUGUAAAGGACAGUUGUAGUGUUUUGUCCACAAUGAAUGAUGUAAAGACUUCAUUACUACUAGCAGAAGGAAAGUUGUAGUGUUUUGUCCAUGAUGAAUGAUGUAAAGGCUUCAAUGUGUUUUUAUAUUGAGCUACUCUGUUAUAUUCUGUUUGUUCAUGUGAAAUUGGAAAGUGUAUUUUUCUAUAAUGUCGUUGUGUGUGUAUAUCUUGAGCAACACCGUCGUAUGGCUGCCAACUUGCCAAAUAAAGCUUCCUAAAAUGUG